GGUGCAUGGCAGACGGGUGAGUAACGCGUGGGGAAUCUACCUCUUUGUGGGGAAUAACGCUCCGAAAGGAGUGGUAAUACCGCAUGAGAUCCAUGGCUGGGAUGCUGUGGAUGAAACCUGGGGACCGCAAGGCCUGGGGCAAGGAGAGGAUCCUGCGUCUGAUUAGCUAGUUGGUGAGGUAAUGGCCCACCAAGGCGACGAUCAGUAGCCGGCCUGAGAGGGUGAUCGGCCACACUGGAACUGAGACACGGUCCAGACUUCUACGGGAGGCAGCAGUGGGGAAUUUUGCGCAAUGGGCGAAAGCCUGACGCAGCAACGCCGCGUGGGUGAUGAAGGUCUUCGGAUCGUAAAACCCUGUCGUCGGGGACGAAGGUGGGCGGGUUAAUAGCCUGUUUGCUUGACGGUACCCGGAGAGGAAGCCCCGGCUAACUCUGUGCCAGCAGCCGCGGUAAUACAGAGGGGGCAAGCGUUAUUCGGAAUUAUUGGGCGUAAAGGGCGCGUAGGCGGCUUUUUAAGUGAGAUGUGUAAUCCCUGAGCUCAACUUGGGAACUGCAUCUCAUACUGGGAGGCUAGAGUACUGGAGAGGGUGGUAGAAUUCCACGUGUAGCGGUGAAAUGCGUAGAGAUGUGGAGGAAUACCAGUGGCGAAGGCGGCCACCUGGACAGUAACUGACGCUGAGGCGCGAAAGUGUGGGUAGCAAACAGGAUUAGAUACCCUGGUAGU
rnacentral:rRNA from 1 species